rnacentral:rRNA from 1 species
AGUCGAACGAGCGAGAGAGAGCUUGCUUUCUCGAGCGAGUGGCGAACGGGUGAGUAACGCGUGAGGAACCUGCCUCAAAGAGGGGGACAACAGUUGGAAACGACUGCUAAUACCGCAUAAGCCCACGACCCGGCAUCGGGUAGAGGGAAAAGGAGCAAUCCGCUUUGAGAUGGCCUCGCGUCCGAUUAGCUAGUUGGUGAGGUAACGGCCCACCAAGGCGACGAUCGGUAGCCGGACUGAGAGGUUGAACGGCCACAUUGGGACUGAGACACGGCCCAGACUCCUACGGGAGGCAGCAGUGGGGAAUAUUGCACAAUGGGGGGAACCCUGAUGCAGCGACGCCGCGUGGAGGAAGAAGGUCUUCGGAUUGUAAACUCCUGUUGUUGAGGAAGAUAAUGACGGUACUCAACAAGGAAGUGACGGCUAACUACGUGCCAGCAGCCGCGGUAAAACGUAGGUCACAAGCGUUGUCCGGAAUUACUGGGUGUAAAGGGAGCGCAGGCGGGAAGACAAGUUGGAAGUGAAAUCCAUGGGCUCAACCCAUGAACUGCUUUCAAAACUGUUUUUCUUGAGUAGUGCAGAGGUAGGCGGAAUUCCCGGUGUAGCGGUGGAAUGCGUAGAUAUCGGGAGGAACACCAGUGGCGAAGGCGGCCUACUGGGCACCAACUGACGCUGAGGCUCGAA